rnacentral:piRNA from 1 species
UAGAGGUGGUGUUGCCAUCCUAUGAUUGC